CCUACGGGUGGCAGCAGUGAGGAAUAUUGGUCAAUGGGCGGAAGCCUGAACCAGCCAAGUAGCGUGCAGGAUGACGGCCCUACGGGUUGUAAACUGCUUUUAUACGGGAAUAACGCGCCUUACGUGUAGGGCUUUGCAUGUACCGUAUGAAUAAGGACCGGCUAAUUCCGUGCCAGCAGCCGCGGUAAUACGGAGGAUGCGAGCGUUAUCCGGAUUUAUUGGGUUUAAAGGGUGCGCAGGCGGAAUGUCAAGUCAGCGGUAAAAUUUCGGGGCUCAACCCCGUCGUGCCGUUGAAACUGGCGUGCUUGAGUGAGCGAGAAGUAUGCGGAAUGCGUGGUGUAGCGGUGAAAUGCAUAGAUAUCACGCAGAACUCCGAUUGCGAAGGCAGCAUACCGGCGCUCAACUGACGCUCAUGCACGAAAGCGUGGGUAUCGAACAGGAUUAGAUACCCCUGUAGUC
rnacentral:rRNA from 1 species